AAAUUGAAGAGUUUGAUCAUGGCUCAGAUUGAACGCUGGCGGCAGGCCUAACACAUGCAAGUCGAGCGGUAGCACAGAGAGCUUGCUCUCGGGUGACGAGCGGCGGACGGGUGAGUAAUGUCUGGGAAACUGCCUGAUGGAGGGGGAUAACUACUGGAAACGGUAGCUAAUACCGCAUAAUGUCGCAAGACCAAAGUGGGGGACCUUCGGGCCUCAUGCCAUCAGAUGUGCCCAGAUGGGAUUAGCUAGUAGGUGGGGUAACGGCUCACCUAGGCGACGAUCCCUAGCUGGUCUGAGAGGAUGACCAGCCACACUGGAACUGAGACACGGUCCAGACUCCUACGGGAGGCAGCAGUGGGGAAUAUUGCACAAUGGGCGCAAGCCUGAUGCAGCCAUGCCGCGUGUGUGAAGAAGGCCUUCGGGUUGUAAAGCACUUUCAGCGGGGAGGAAGGCGGUGAGGUUAAUAACCUCAUCGAUUGACGUUACCCGCAGAAGAAGCACCGGCUAACUCCGUGCCAGCAGCCGCGGUAAUACGGAGGGUGCAAGCGUUAAUCGGAAUUACUGGGCGUAAAGCGCACGCAGGCGGUCUGUCAAGUCGGAUGUGAAAUCCCCGGGCUCAACCUGGGAACUGCAUUCGAAACUGGCAGGCUAGAGUCUUGUAGAGGGGGUAGAAUUCCAGGUGUAGCGGUGAAAUGCGUAGAGAUCUGGAGGAAUACCGGUGGCGAAGGCGGCCCCUGGACAAAGACUGACGCUCAGGUGCGAAAGCGUGGGGAGCAAACAGGAUUAGAUACCCUGGUAGUCCACGCCGUAAACGAUGUCGAUUUGGAGGUUGUGCCCUUGAGGCGUGGCUUCCGGAGCUAACGCGUUAAAUCGACCGCCUGGGGAGUACGGCCGCAAGGUUAAAACUCAAAUGAAUUGACGGGGGCCCGCACAAGCGGUGGAGCAUGUGGUUUAAUUCGAUGCAACGCGAAGAACCUUACCUGGUCUUGACAUCCACAGAACUUUCCAGAGAUGGAUUGGUGCCUUCGGGAACUGUGAGACAGGUGCUGCAUGGCUGUCGUCAGCUCGUGUUGUGAAAUGUUGGGUUAAGUCCCGCAACGAGCGCAACCCUUAUCCUUUGUUGCCAGCGGUUAGGCCGGGAACUCAAAGGAGACUGCCAGUGAUAAACUGGAGGAAGGUGGGGAUGACGUCAAGUCAUCAUGGCCCUUACGACCAGGGCUACACACGUGCUACAAUGGCAUAUACAAAGAGAAGCGACCUCGCGAGAGCAAGCGGACCUCAUAAAGUAUGUCGUAGUCCGGAUUGGAGUCUGCAACUCGACUCCAUGAAGUCGGAAUCGCUAGUAAUCGUAGAUCAGAAUGCUACGGUGAAUACGUUCCCGGGCCUUGUACACACCGCCCGUCACACCAUGGGAGUGGGUUGCAAAAGAAGUAGGUAGCUUAACCUUCGGGAGGGCGCUUACCACUUUGUGAUUCAUGACUGGGGUGAAGUCGUAACAAGGUAACCGUAGGGGAACCUGCGGUUGGAUCACCUCCUUA
rnacentral:rRNA from 1 species